rnacentral:misc_RNA from 1 species
CACUUUCCACAUUUACAGAUUCAAAAUAAGGCUAACAUUGUCAAGUAACAAACACACUGAUGUUUUCAUUUCUAAUAUUAAUUUCAUUCUUUCACGAAGAAUCGUUACAAUGCCAUACUAUCAGUCGCGCCAAAAUACGCUUCGCGGAACCAGAACAACCGAGGGAAAUAUUGCGCAAUCUAUACCAGUUGUUUUGUCCUAUCAGCAAAACCAAUAACAUGACACAGCAUGCUGUGUUACGGGUUCCCACGAUAAGCUCUGUUAAUAGAAAAGGAAGGAAGUAUGAACAGAUUAUAAAGGGGCGUUUGCUAAUGCUCAGUGCGGUGGAUCGGCAAAGCUGAACCCAGUCGGGACCAAAACCAAGGGUGGCGGACUCCUUUGAUGUUUGGACAUCAUCCAAAAAAGUGCUUAUAUAUAAAUCAGGAUGAUACCAUCACUGGUACAGAGGCUUUCCAAAGGUCUCUCUUUCAUGUCAGCAAAAAAUGAGGCAGAUAUGAGCGCUAAUACACGGUCACAGGUCUUAAACAAAACAAACAAUGCAGACAGCGUUCAGGAUAUGGCUACAUUACGCAGACAGUCAACAACACAACUUCCUCCAGAUGAUGAGCAGAAUUCACUCACACAUUCCACAAGAAAGAAUUUCACAAGAUCCUCGACAACAAGCAGCACCAUCAGUAAAAGCACCAGUACAAUGUUGAAGAGAUUAUCAAAAACGCCAUCCAGAUACAUGGAAGGUGAACUCCACAGUGAAGAGAUAACACAGAUAUCAUCCAAGAAAAGGAAUUCAUCUAGUCUGGAAAGAUCAGGGACUAAAAAACCUUCCCAAAUCCCCACAGAACAGCUGGCGAUGGCAAAAAAUGUGUCUCUAAGUGCACGAGGCAAAGGACCCAAGCAACUGAGCUUGACCAAAAAAGUGUCAUCACCUGGGAAGCAUCAUUCAGUCAAUGGUCCUACACGCUCUAGUUCUGUGACAAAAAUAAGAGCCAUUCCUCUUAGGAAUAUAAAAUCAAAGGGAAAAACCAUCUGGUAUUCUACUGGUGCCUACUUAUCAGUGCGAAGUAGUGAUGGUGGAUUUUACCUGUGCAGAGUAUUGAGAAAUGUUUAUAACACUUCCAAAGAAGUAAAAAUUCGUUGGCUUGUUAAAAAACAAAGGAUUGCUAGAAGCAGAAAUAAGAAUACUCGUGCAACUAUGCAUGAUGAUAAAGAACAUGAUGGAAAAUUAUAUCAGCUUUCCUAUGCGGAUAUCAUUGACCCUUCUUGCAUUUUGAUGGAGGUGUCCAUGGAGGUAGCACCUAAUCGAAGGACCAUGAUUUUACACGAUGAGGACAAGGAAGAAACAAUGAGGCUGCUGAACAUUGCAGAAGAGGUAGAGUCCGGCAACAUGGCAAAGGAAGAUAUUGGAGAAGAUGUUGAAGAAGUCAUUAUCAUUGAUCAUCCAACCCCAAAGAAACGAAAGUUAGACAGAGGAUCUUCAUCAGAAAGGGUUGAAACAAAGAGGCCAAAACUUAAGAAGACACCUUCUCAAAAGAAGCAAGAGAAGGAAAGAAGGGCACAAGAAAGAAAGAACAAAAGAAGCCAGGAAGAAGCUGACGGGAAACCAAAGCGCAAACGAAAAGUGGCCAAGAAAGAGGAAGACAUUCAGCUGCAUCCUAACCCUAAUAUCAAAGUUCAGGAGAAAGAUCCUUUAUGGGAAACAACAGCACACAUGCCCUUCAUUUCAAAGUAUGGAAAUUCUCGACUUGCAUUUCGUGCCAUCAACUUGAAUGAUAUGAAACUACUCAAAAAACUUCUGAAAGAUUCAGAGAGAGUCCGUUGCCUUAGUCAUAUGCAUAGCCAGAGCAAUUCCUACUGUCCACUUCAAUAUGCUCUGUAUAAAAAACAUCAAGAAGCCUUUAACCUUCUAUAUGAAGACUACUUUGGGAACAAAUAUCAUAAACGACUAGAAGGAAAUGCUGCAGACAAGAUUAUGAUGGAAAGGCUAGGGACUGGGUCCUACAACUUCCGAUCACUGGGUGUAGGUCGAAUUAGAGCCAUCAUGGCAAGCAGAGGUAGCAGAGAAGGCAACAAUGCUCUCACAAAGGACCAGCGUGACAUGGAAGACAGUUAUCCCCUGGCUGAGGCUGAUAUUAUUAUUACAGCCAUGGAAACUGGAGCAACCAAAGAAGUCUUUUUAAAAAUUAUGACUUCGGAUCAGAAGGAAUUGGACCCGUCCAGAGAUCUGAGAUUUGAUUUGAUGAAUCAUGUGGUCAAGAAUUUGAUGGUAUUGCUGAUCAGGGGACAUAAUGUUGUAGCCGGAGAACUAAUGGCAUUGAUUGUCAAAAAUCAUUUUCGCUUUGGACGUUUCCCUUUUCUCAUCACCAAGGUUCUUUUGGCCAAAGAUUCUGAAGACCUAAAAACUAUGCCGCCUUCACAGUUAAGAGCUGAUGCCAAAGAAUUAAAAGGGUUCACAGCUAUUCAUGCAGCUGCCUGCAACCCAAAUCCUGCAGUCCUGGAAAAAGUUCUGUCAGUAGAUCCUGAUUUUCACAUAAGUGAUGCCAAGGGUCACCGCCCUAUUCAUCUGGCAGCAGGCUGCUCUUCGACAGGCCCACUCAAACUACUGCUAGAAAAGGGAGCUAAUCCAUAUGAUUCUGACAGCAAGGGUUUCACUUCACUGCAUUUUGCCAUCCAGGCAGAAAGAGUAGAGAAUGUAGAGAUUUUACUUCAACUGCUUCAAGACAAAAACUCUCGAUUUGUUGACCCAACCGAAGGAAAACCAAAUGGUGGAGUCAACAGAACCAUCACCACCUCAGAAACUCCACUUCAUAUGGCAGCAAAAUUUGGAAAUCUGAGUAUUGUUCAGCUUCUUCUGAAAUAUGGCGCUGAUGUUAAUGCCAAGCUGUCCAUCAGCUCUUUCUCUUUAACCCCACUCAUGGUAGCAGCUGGCAGGGGCCAUCUGAACAUUGUUCACUGCCUUGUUGAUGGAGGGGCUGAAGUGCAACAGAAGGAUCGCCUGGGAAGAACUGCAUUGAUUCAUGCUGUCAUGAAUGGGUCAACCAGUGUGUUGUCUUACCUGCUGAACAUUGGGGCCUCACCAAAUCAACCAGACUCAUCAGGCAACUCUCCGCUGCACUAUGCUUCUGCUUACGGGUGGCACUUCUGUGUGAAAACAUUGAUCCAAGCUGGAGCAGAUCUGUGCUGUAGCAAUGACUGGCAGACAACUCCAUUAUCAGUUGCCUACUUAAAGGGUCACUUUGGCAUUGUCUCCCAACUUCUUGAUCAUGAGAAUGUGAAUGUCAACCAUCCAGAUGAAGAGGGGAGGACACUUUUGUUCAUAGCAUGCUCCAGUGAACCAGAAGACAGUUUGCUUGAACAGAUUCGAUUCCUGGUUAAGGAGAAAAAUGCAGACUGUACAGUUAUAGAUACUUUUGGGAAAACACUGCUUCAUUACUUAGCUAUGACAAAGAUUACUGAAUCCAUCCAGGCGGAUGAUAAACCUGCAGAAACUAUAAUAAGUGAACAAGCAAUUAAAAACACGGUCAGCAUAGCUCAGUUCCUUCUGGACAAUGGAUGCAAUCCAUCACUUCAGGACAAGGAGGGAAAUACUGCAGCUGUUGAAGCUCUUAGAAAGAAAAAUAUUCCUCUUGCAAAACUUCUUGUGGAAAAUGGCUGCCAGAUCAAUGUUGCAACAAUAGAUGAUCCACUUGUGCCUCCUUCCACCCUAUUGCAUUCUCUCGCCUAUGACAUUUUUGAGCCUGGAGACCCUAGCCUUGUCAUCAAGUUUCUAGCACAAACAUUGACAGUAAAUGGAUUGAAGAGGAAUUUCAGUAAAGAACUGUCUGAAAUGGCACAAACAUAUGAUAGAAAUGGAUUGACUCCAUUCAUGGCUGCUUGCAAAACUUAUUCUUCCAGAAAUUACUGGCAUGACAAAAAGACUGAAUUUCUGGAGAGAACAAGAUGGGAGAAAGCCCGUGCAUUCUUGAGGAACCUUGUUGAGGUGGCUAAGAGUGAUAUUAAUGCAAGUACAAAACCAGACUGGAUAUCUCUUAAUGAAGGAACCUUACACAAAACCAGACACUCUGCAACUAAGUGGAUGCCUGUCUUUUACCUGGUUGGGGCCAACGAUCCUUGGUUUGAUGCUGCUGGACAAUAUGCUCCAGACAUCAAAUGCUCCAUGCUGAAGUAUUUGCUCACUCAGGGACUUGAGGUGAACAUCUACAACCAUGAGAACAAGACGCCGCUGAUUUCUGCUAUUACUGGAAAGAACUUAGAUGCAGCAUUACUCUUGCUGCGAGAAGGCAAAGUGGAUCCGAAUUUGUGCCAGCUGAUUACUAAGGAAGAGGAUGAUGCAAAGAAAACUGUAAAAUGUCCACCUCUCUGCCUUGCUGCUCACUACCAGCAGUUUGAAAUUCUGGAUGAAUUGCUUAAAAACAAAGCAGAUGUGACAGCAAUAGAUGAGAAUUCUGGAAAAUCUGUGCUGCAUAUUCUUGCAGAAAAAAGCAGAUCUGAAGAGUGUGUACAAGCAAUGGUAAAGAUAUUAGAUGCUGGUUUGGAUGUGAACAUCAGGGAUGACAAUCAAAUGACACCACUUCAUAUCCUGGUGAAUGCUAACAAGGGAGGCAUUGAUGACAGCUUUGAUGCUGAGAUCCUGAUGCUACGUAGAAAUGCAGAUCUGGCAAUCUGUGACAAUGAAAGUCGCACACCAUUGCAUUAUGUCUUCUUAAAAAAGAACAGAGAGACAGACAAGAGUCAACAUGACCCAAUAGAACUGUGCAAGCUAUUGGCCAAAUCCAUGGGAUCAUCUGAAAUAAACAUAGCUGACAAGAAUGGAUCCACGCCUCUUCAUUUAGCUGCAUGCAGGGGUGCCAGCAUUUGCUGCAUGUACCUCUUGCAGAGAGGGGUAGAUCUCAACAAACAGGAUGUAGAUGGAAACACUGCUUUAACCCUAGCUGUUUCAGCAGGGCAUGAUAACUGUGGGAGCAUGCUGAUCCAGCAAGGAGCAGAUCUCCUCAACCCAGUUGUCCAAGUUACAGCCAAAAAUGAAGAGAAAAGACCAGUUUGGAAAUGGAAACACCUCUAUAUGGCAGAAACUAUAGAACCUGUCACCAAAGUACCUCUGUUUCAGGUUGCAAUCAAAAACACGAUGGUUGGAGUAACAUUCCUUCUGCUUGAAGCGCCUUCUGAUAAAUCUGGCAUUUCUAUGACAAGCGGCAUUGAGAUGGCCAUUAAGAAUUCCCAGUAUAAUGCUGCACUACGCUUACUGUCCACAGCAGUGGACUUAAAAGAAGUUCUUGCACUGCGAAGCAAGGACAGAAACCUUCUUCACAUCUUAGCUUUGUAUGCAGCUGGCAAUGAAGAACAGCAAAUUAGGAUUGCCCGGAUUUUGAUCGACAAAGGCAUACAGGCCAAUAGCAAAGACCAAUAUGGUUGCACCCCUCUAUUGUAUGCUGUCUACAACAAGAACUUUCAGCUUGCUAAUUUUUUGAGCGCCCUACCUGAUGGUAUGAAUGUCAAGUUUGUUGACAGCUUCAACAGGAGUUAUGUCACAGCAUCACUGUGGAAUUGUCUGUACUCUGGCAUUCCUGCAGACCUGUGGGAAUGGCUGGAAGUGAUGAUAAAGAAAAAGGCAGACAUCAACAAGAAGUUUGACUUCCCAAUGCCAGACAUUCCUUUUGCUACUUCGUUCAACGUCAAGAUGCUCAACCCAGAUUACUGGUGCAGCUACCCUGGCUGCGAGACAACAGCCCUUAUCUUUGCCUUGCGGUGUCGUGACUUCACCUUCACUCAUAACCUUCUGCAGUGGGGUGCAAACCCAAACUUGCCAGACAGCAGUUCGGUCACACCUCUCAUGCAUGCCGUCAAAAUCAAUUCUCUAAAUCACCUCAAGCAACUGAUGAGGUAUGAUUAUGACCCUGACUACAAAGAACCAGAGAAGAUAGUGCCAGCUAAGAAACAUCAAAGGGGAAAUAAUGUCACACAUGGAAAAGUAUUUCGGCUUAAAAAAACACUUAGUGCAACAUCUGUGUCCAGUGGAUCAAGCACAUCAGAUGAAGAGGAAGAAAAUGCAGCAGAAGAAUUGGAACAAAAGAAGAAGCCAAAUGAAAUCAAGACUGUGAAGAAAACCAGCUCAGUUAAACUGGACCAGACUGACAAAAAUGGCUGGACUGCAAUGCACCAUGUAGCCUGCCCACUGGAACUGGGAUCAUUUGACAAUGAUGAGAUGAUUUAUGUUCUGGCCAAAGCAGGUGCAAAGUUAAAUGUGAAAAACAAUCUGCAGCAGACACCUCUUGACCUGGCAUUGGCCCACAGAGCACCUAAAGUAGCAAGCAUGCUGCAGAAACUAAUGGGGGUGUCUGAAAAAGACAUGAAACAACCCAGUUAUGAAAAAUUCUCAUGCAGUGAUGGUGUUACCUGGACUGGGUCAGAGCCAGAUUUUCAUAGUGAUGCAGAAAAGCAACUUGGAGGAGAAGAGGCCAUGGAGGAAGAGGAAGAGAUUAAGGUGGAGGUCAGCGAGUACUGCAGAAUAAAAAAUGGGGAAUUGGUGAUUGAUGCAGAACAAAGCUUACCUUAUGAAGUGCUGAUGACAAAGUGUGAUGCUAAUCUUGGACAGUGGGGCUUAUACAACUUUUAUCAGAUUCAGCUGGUUCGUCAACCAAGCAAGAAGAUAUAUGUUCUUUUCACACGUUGGGGUCGCAUUGGAGAUGUUGGACAGUACCAGCACACACCAUUUCAAAAUGAAGCUGAUGCUGUCAAAGAGUUCAAGAAAAUUUUUCGGGAAAAGUCUGGCAACAAAUGGGAGGACAUCAAAAGAUGGAUGUAAAGGCUUUGAAGAGAAUGUACAAAGGGAAUAGAUCCCUGGACCCAGAUGUUUUACCUUUUGGACGCAUCAGCAGGGACAAACUAUUGCAGGCCAGAAAACUAUUGGAAGAAAUGGGGGAUAUAGUUCACAGAAUUGAGG